UGUGAAUCAAGUUGAAAAACUUGUAGUACACGAGCUCGUGCAACUUGUCUAAUAAGUGAGUGCAGUUUAGUAUUGUAAAAGGAAUUCAUGUUUAAAAUGAAUCGUAUUAUUAUCUUUCAAGUAAUUUUUUCGCCAUUUCUCUUCAAUGUUUGCAAAAACGAACCAUUAAAAAGUAUUGAUUAUGUUCCAACGAGUGUUCUGUAUACGACUGAAAGCGAACCGGUUACGACUUGGUGCCGUACCCAAAUCCCACACCACAAAGUAAAUUUUAUUUGGACAAUCGAUAACUUCGAUUAUUACGAAGCUGCAGAAAGUUCCUUGAAAUCCCCCGAAUUCUCAGCUAGAACAAAUGAAAAAUUUAAAUGGUUUUUAGAACUUAAUCCUAAUAGAGGGGAUGGCGCUAUGAAGAACAUCUCUUUAUACUUGUAUUUGGAUGCUAAAAGUGAACGGAAAAGAGCAUACGCGCAAUUCAAUUUUUCUAUUCUGAAUAAUCAGCUGGAAGAACGAUACACCAGUGCUUCUUCAGAAUUGCACUUCUUCCAAAAUAAAAGCUCUGCAAACAGCUCGUCAUCGAUUGGUUGGGGCUAUGCAGAAUUUGUUCAAAAAGACGAUUAUUUCAGGAAAAAUUUAUUAUCGAAUAACAAAUUAACAAUCCAGUGUAAAUUGUCGUUUUAUGCCAUCAACAACAUUGCUUCAAACAAAUCCGACACAUUUCAUCAAUGUAACACAUCCAUAAUUCAAACCGUGUAUCUUGAGACUAGUGUUUCUGAGAACUUCAAGAUUUUAGCGAGAAAAUAUGAAUUUAAGCCCACAGACUUGACACUUCGUGUAAAUAAUAACAAUUAUACGGCGCACAAGGACAUUUUAUCAGCGCGUAGUCCAAUUUUCGCUGCGAUUAUCCAAAACAAAACGAAAAAUAGCGAUCAAGAUUUCAUAGAUAUUAAAGAUACCGAUGAAGAAAUUGUAUCCGAAAUGUUGAGAUAUAUGUACACAGGAAAGUGUGAAAAUUUAGAUAAGCUGGCUGAUGGUUUAUUAGGAGCUGCGGAUAAAUACGACUUGAAUGGGUUAAAAGUAAUUGCCUCGAAUGCUUUGUUGAAGACAUUAUCGGUGGACAACGCAGCAGAUAUAUUGAUAUCGGCUGACAUGUAUCAUGCAAAUCAAUUGAAGUCUCAUGUGGUCACGUUCAUCGUCAGAAAUUCAGCCGAAGUUUUUAAUACGACAGCUUGGAUAAAUUUGGAAUUAUCGAAUCCACGACUCCUCGUUGACGUAUGUCGAGCCUUGUCUCAUAAACUAACGACUUUUUUAAAUUAAGUAAUUGUGGUUGAGUUAUUUUUUUCAGACCUGCUUAUGUGAUAAAAUUAAAAAUACUUAUUAAAAUGAUUUUUUUUUUCAACCUAAAUAGCCCUACCUUUUGAGAAAUUAUAGGUAUAGAAAUCUCAAAGGUAAAAAGGGAACCUUUUAGCGAGAAGUUGUUAUAGUAAAAACUGAGAAGCAAGAGUUAUUUUUUCCUAAUUAUAUAGAAAUCUCAUUGAAAAGCAUAUAGGUAGCUCUUGAAUGGGUUUGCCACCUCAAAAGGCUGAUUCGAUUAGGUAUCAAAUUGAAAAAUUAGGUUUUUAUUGUUUCGAUCGAGAGAAAAAAACUAUGAGUUUUACAAUACAAUAAAAAUUCAUAAAAAUUUUACUUAUGUUAGGAAAGAAAAACUGAAAAUCCUUUUGAUUUUAUCUUGGAAAAAUUUAUAAAAGUGCUUUCCAGUGAAAAGUUCGAGGCUUACGAGUUCGUAAUUUCCCUCCAUGAGAUAACAUGAUUAUUUCAAGUUUUAAAAUUUUAAAUUAAUUCGUCUGAGAUUUUAUAUAUUACCUAUUGGAAAACACGUGUUCCAAGAAUAAUAUGUAGGUACUAUAGAUAAAUAUCUACUGAUUAUCAGAGCAUGUUCAAUAGCAGCUGGUGAUAAAAUCCGUAAGACAUUUUAUAUUUUCAUAAUGAUAAUCGAAAAGUGCAAACAAAUGAGAAUUUACUAAUUUUAAUAAGAAUAGAUAAAUCAGGCAAGUACUGCACUUUAAACAAUUCAUAUAGGUACUUCGAGAAAAGUUUAUUCUGUUACUCGGAUUUCUUCAGUAUUCGGUACAAAGUAUUCAAGUUAUCAGAUUCAGGCGAAUGUAGGUACCUACUAUAGGUAUAGAAUGAACCGUUAACUGAAAGCGUGCAGGUUCCUACUUGGUGCCAUACUGAAACCUUACAUCACAAAGCAAAUUUUAUCUGGACAAUCGAUAGUUUUGAUUUUCACGAAACCGUAAUAGGAAAAACCUUGAUAUCGCCCAAAUUCUCAGCUAGCACUAAUGAAGAAUACAAAUGGUUUUUAGAGCUUUAUCCUAAUGGAAGAGAUGGCUCUGCAAAGGCCAUCUCUUUAUACUUGUCUUUGGAUCUUGAAAAUAAACAGAAAGGAGCAUACGUGAAAUACAAUUUUUCUAUUUUGAAUAACGAACUUCAAGAACUAGACUACACUAGGAAAACACUAUCGCGCUGCUUUCACAAUAAGAACUCAUCGUGCACACCGUUGUCGCCGCGGGGUUAUGGCUACCCUGAAUUUGUCGAAAAAGACGAUAUUUUCAGAAACAAAAUUUUAUCGAAUGAUUCAUUAACAAUCCAGUGUGAACUGUCAUUUUAUAUCUUAAACAACAACGGUUCAGAUAACAAACCUGAAAUGUUCCACCACUGUAAUACAUCUACGAUUCAAACAGAUUUUCUUGUGAAUAAUGUUUCCGAGAACUUGGAGAUUUUAGGGAAAAAAUAUGAAUUUAAACCCAGAGACUUGACACUUCGUGUAAAUAAUAACAAUUAUACAGCUCACAAGGACAUUUUAUCAGCGCGUAGUCCAAUUUUCGCUGCGAUUAUUCAAAACAAAACGAAAAAUAACGAUCGAGAUUUCAUAGAUAUUAAAGAUACCGAUGAAGAAAUCGUAUCCGAAAUGUUGAGAUAUAUGUAUACUGGAAAGUGUGAUAAUUUGGAGAAGCUGGCUGAUGGUUUAUUAGGAGCAGCGGAUAAGUAUGAAUUAAAUGGGUUGAAAUUAAUUGCCUCGAAUGCUUUGCUGAAGACGUUAUCGGUGGACAACGCGGCAGAUAUAUUGAUAUCAGCCGACAUGUAUCAUGCAAACCAAUUAUUGAAGUCUCCUGUGAUAAAGUUCAUCGUCAAAAAUUCAGCCGAAGUUUUAAAUACAGCAGCUUGGAAAAAUUUGGAAUCAUCAAAUCCGCGACUUGUCAUUGACGUAUGUCGAGCUUUGUCUCAUAAACUAACGACUAUUUUAAAUUAAGUAAAUUGUGAUUGAGUUAAGUAUUUUUUUCACACCUGAUGUAAUAAAAUUAAAAAUAUAUUAAAAUUAUUUUUUUUUCAA